AUACAAACCCUAAUGCUUGGAUCUAGGUUUCUCUAUUGUACAUGCAAUUUAUCCAAGACUAUAAACCCUAAUUCUAGCAUACAAGUAAUCAUAUUAACAUAAGAAUGGGUUUAAGAUAUUACCUUGAUUGUUAUGUAGCAAUAACAAUCACAAUUCUCCUUGUAAUGACUUUAGAAAGCUUAGAGUCACAAAUGUCACUCCUCUAAUGGUUCACAAACACCAAGAGCAAGAGGAUGAAGAAGAGAAGAGAAGGAGGCUGCCCAAAAUGCGUGGAAACCCUAGAAGGAAGCUUGUCCACGUUUUUGGAGCAUAAGGGUUCUAUAUAUAGUGAGGCUAUUAGGGUUAUCUAACAAGGAAACCCUAAUUUGGAUGCUUAAGCCCUAAGCAACCCAUGGACUCCUUUCCUUAAAGGCCUUGGACGAUUUCUAAUGGGUUUCCCCAUAGAAUUCAUCCAACCUUAUAAUAUAAGGCAAUCCAUGGCCCAAUUGCAAUUAUCUUAUAAUUACAAUUCCAGUCCCUUAAGUUUAAUUAAUCUCUUUUAGUCACAAACUUAAUUCUUAUUAAUUCUUGACUAAUAUUAAUUAAACAAUAUGAUUUCUCCUUUAAUAUAUUAUUCUCAUAAUAUAUUAAUAAAUCGUAUUUAAUCCUUUCUCUCCAUAAUUCAUCCUAUCAAGUUGCUUUGGUGAAGGCAACCCAAAAGGACCAUGCACCAUCGGGUCAAGUACAUACCAAAAUAGUUAUGGACCUAGACACUAAUCCAACACAUAGUGGUUGGAAAGUAUUGUUUAAACGCUUAUAUAAUAAUAAGAAUAAUAAUUAGUCACGGUAAAUAUUAGACUAAAAUCUAGUGGUAAUAAUACUAGGUUUCGUCGAAGGAAAUUAUUCUAAAGUAAACGAAGCGUUGUCCGAGUACCGAGUCACCACCUUAUCAACUAAGUGCAUGAUCCCUUUCAUCUUACACAUAGAUAUGAAGUAUUUUAUAUAAACUACGUGCUAUGUGUGCAUAUUAUCUGUAUACUUGCUAUCUAUGCUGGAUGAACGAUUUUAUACAAGUUUUAUAUGAUUUAAAAUGUACAUGUAUUUAUAUCUACAUAAUAUGUUGGGUAAAAUAUAGGUAGAUGAAAUAUGAGUUGGAUGACGAGUUGAGAGGUGAUAUAAACCAUGAGGUAAGGGUGAGAGGCGGACGAUAUGAGAAGCCUUGUUCCCAAAUGCUGGGGGCGUCAUCUUGCAGAGUAUGGAUGACAACCACCGACUAUUCUAGACAGUCCAGUGGAACACUAGCAGGCUCGCAAUCUGUAGAUGUUGUGAACGAUGUGUUCACCGGUGUACUCUAAAAACCCAUUGAAAUGUAUUGCGAGUGGACUCUAGAAAACAAUACUGCCAAUAAAACCCUUGCAGAUGCGCCUAAAGGACUCUACCGGCAGAUACGCCUAAAGGACUAUACCGGAAGAUGCGCCUCAUAUAGAAUAUCACAAUUCUGGCAGUUGCGCCUAAGUGAUAAAACUAGCAGUUGUGCUUGACAGCUGUGUCAUUGACAACGAUGGACUUCAUACCUAUUCCUUAGGAUAAUCCUUAGGAAUGAAUGAAUGAGAAAUAGCUGAUUCUUAGGGUAGAUCCUUAAGAGUAAAGAAGAUAAUGAGAAUGGGUAAUUGGGUUAACUGUUUGAUGAUUAAACCUAAUAAUUAUAAUAUUGUGGGUUGAAAACCCUAUGUACUCACCAGGUUUCCAACCUGACCCACUCAGUUUAUUUAUAUCACAGGUGUUGAUAUGAAGUCACAUUACACUGAGAGACUAAGGAAAUAUAAAUCACUAGUGAUAAUGUAUGUAAGUUAUGUUUAUGUUUAUGUUUCUGUAUUAAUGAUGAAAUCCCAAAUGUUUUUAAAUGAAUAAAAAUACUUUUCUUCAGAAAUGCCUUGAUAAUGUAUUUAUCAUGAUUUAUUGGGAACAAAUUCCGCAACAUUUUUAUUAAAAGAGGUACUCUGAUUUUUAUAAAAUAUAAACAAAAUCGGUCUUUUCUGGCCGUGAAAAUGGAGAUGUCACAGUUGGUAUCAGAGCAUUAGUUUAAGCGAACUAGGAAUAUGGAUUUAUUUCUAGACUUAAACUUAGAAUGCUAAGCGAUGAUCGUGAGGAGUGUGUCCAAUAUAUUUUAGGUAGUACACCUGAAUAGACACAAGCACUAGCUAAUUUAGGGAAAAUGCCUAACAUGCUUUUAUGUGCUAAAUGAGUUAUGAUAUGCAUUGUAUGAUCGGAUCUAUGGUUUGUUGCCGACUGGAUCUGGAAACUUUAUGUGUUGAUGUGCACAAAAGUACCCACUAAUUUUAAUAUUUAUAACCUAACAAACUUAGACUAACUAUGCACUUAUAGGCAGUGUACCUAGUCAGAUUACAGUAUAGCUUGGGUAAGUCGGGUGUCGAUCACAGGGAACGGUGGAUUAAUUUAAUAUAUUUGAUUAUAGGUUACAGGUCACACGAAAAUAAUAAAGAAAAUGGUUUAAUAAAAUUCAAACUACCAACUCUCGAUAAACUAACAGGAAAACAAAUCUCUUCAGGUACUUUUGGUUUAGAUAAAUUACACCUUAAAAACAUAGACAAUUACAUACACAAAUUCAUUUAUUCAUGUUCACCGAUUCCUAAAAUGAUUAGAUUCACGUUCACUAUAACUACUCCUUUAGCAAACAAGUCAAUUCAAACAGUGAUCAGUUGAUUAAACUAACAUGCUUCCUAGUGUUCAGUUCGUAUCAAGCAAGACUUGUAAAUAUAGUUAAUCNNNNNNNNNNNNNNNNNNNNNNNNNNNNNNNNNNNNNNNNNNNNNNNNNNNNNNNNNNNNNNNNNNNNNNNNNNNNNNNNNNNNNNNNNNNNNNNNNNNNNNNNNNNNNNNNNNNNNNNNNNNNNNNNNNNNNNNNNNNNNNNNNNNNNNNNNNNNNNNNNNNNNNNNNNNNNNNNNNNNNNNNNNNNNNNNNNNNNNNNNNNNNNNNNNNNNNNNNNNNNNNNNNNNNNNNNNNNNNNNNNNNNNNNNNNNNNNNNNNNNNNNNNNNNNCCGACCAUAAAAGCCUCCAACAUAUCCUCAACCAGAAAGAACUCAACAUGAGACAAAGCACCCAAAUCAGAAACUAAAUACAGAAUAGUAACACAAUGGAAUGCUAAACAUGGUCUUGUUAACAAUCCAUAUGAUUACCGACAUGUAUCCGCUCUCCAAUCCUUCCGAUCUCCGCUCCUGUUAGCUUAACGGCCUUCCGGCCGCCUUCUAGACCCUCAAAACGGCUUAACAGAAGUUUAAUAUCGACUAAAUUAAGUUGGUAGUCGAAUUCCCCUCCUGGUUAGCUGAAAAUAGACUUUUAUAACCUUUGUAGCCGACUUACGUAUGCUGGGCGUAAGUCGGAUUACGCUAGGCGUACUAAGGAUUACUACGCGAUUGAACUUAUCCGAGGCCAGCCAUUACACGGGGCGUACACUUAAGUUACGCGGGGCGUAAGUUAAUUUGGUCGCUACGCUUAGCGUAAUUGCUAUUUACGCUAGGCGUACUUGUUGCUCCAGCUUUCUUAAUUACUUUUAGCUUCUAAGCCCGGUUUCCGCUUCAGUCUUUUCUUUUGUGCUUUAUCGACAAUGAAUAGCUGCAAAACAUAAUUCAAAGCAUUAUGAGUACUUUUUAGUUCUAAAAGAGAAUAAAUAAGGCCAAAAUAUUAAGAUAAAGUGCAUAAAAAAUACACAUAUCAUGUGUUCAGAUUUCUAAACGUUUAAAUAUGGUGUUAAAACUGGCAUGUAACUUUUCAGAGUAAUAAGGAGGAAUACACGUCUAAAUCUUCCUUUAUCUAUAUUCUCGUCUCGAUACACCGAACGUCUACUUUGGUGUGCAGAACAUCAUGGUGAAGACUUGUAGUGAAUUGAGUGAAUGGAGGAAAUGAGAAGGCUUACGAUAGUGAAUGAUACCUAUUGGAAGAUAUCGUAAGAGUGAUAUCUUGCCUUUAGAAUGCGUCUAAUAAAUAAUACAUCUAGUACGGGAGAAGUACGUGUUCGGUUAGCAGAAAGAAAUAUUUUUGGUAUAAUCCAUGAAGUUAUCCCAUCGUCUGACGUUCCCAUCACCAACCGAAUUGAAGCAGAAUUGAUGAUUGGAGAUAUGCAUGGAAAAAGUCCCAAUAGAGUCUAGGAAAAAGUUUUAUGAUUGUUUGGACACAUUUGUAUGUGUUAAAAUUGUUUUUGUGAUAAUGACUUGGAGAACUGCGAGACAAUACUUGGGACGGGUAUGAGUAGGUGUGAAAGGCAGUAGAGGCCUAUACUACCGGAAGCACAGGACUCACGCUUGGAUCAGGGAAAGUCACAAGGUUACCAAGAAGCUAGUAAAUGAUACCGUUUUAUUCAAGUAUGUCGUUACCUUCGUUUCGGUAAUGAUUAAUAAGAUGAUUAUUGUUUCGAACCUAGUGGUCAUAUCAAAUUGAGUCCGUCUAAGAUGAGUAUGUUACGUGGUUCAGAGAACCAAGUUCAAUGUAGCACCUAACUUAAGCCAGAAGAUUGAAGUGAAAGAUAAUCCAAGCGGUCAAUAGAAGUAUCGCGCUAGUUAAAGAAGUUGGUAGCUAGAAAUGCUACAUGUGAAAAUCUGAUUAUAUCACACUAGAACAUGAAGGAAGCAUAUUCCAUUCUGGAAUUUGACUCUAAGAGACCUAAGUCUGAGUGUUGCAACAUACGAUGAGAAGUUGGUAACACCCGGUUUCCAGAUCAGAUAGAUUUAGGGCUUCGAGGAGUCAAAGGCAUGAUUUUUGGGUAAAAACGAGGCCCACGACAUGAAUAUGGAGAGGUCACGACGUGAGUAGUGAUGAAAAAAAUUCUAAUUUAAACUAAGCUCAUGAUGUGAGCAAUAGGAGCUCACGAUGUGAGAUGCAUUGCAGCCCAAGGCCAUGAUCUUUUAGGGUUUCCUUCGUAUUUAAACCCCAUAAACUUCAUUUUAGGGUUCCAAAACAGACUCCUUUGUCCCUAAGAUCAGUAAAACCCUAACGCGAUCAUCUCCUUGUGAUUCUUGAGCUUUUGGUGGAAUUUUGAUUGUUUGAAAGUUUUGAUGGUUUGAAGAAGACAAGAUCACUAUUGAAGCAUAGAUUAAGCUUGGAAGAUCCCUUUGCAACCUCUAACAACACCUCUUGACCAUUGUGAGUAAAAAAGAUUCAAUAUUUUUGUUUCCUUGUUUCUAGAUCUAAGGUUUUAUGCAUAUUUAUCAAUGGAUAUAAGAGUUAGAGUGUUGGGACUCAAUAAAGUUAGCAACUUUAUGGGUCCUUAGGGUCCCUUGGUGAUUAUAUGUUAUGGAUAUGAAGUUUUGAUUAUAUGUUAUUGGACAUACAAGACCUUAAAGGAUCAAUUUUUACGGCCCUUGAAGUGUUAGGAAGACUCCUGGAAAAGAUGGAUUAGUAUCUUAAUGGAUUAAAUUUUUUUUGGAUCAAUAUCGCAUUCAGAAUGAACACACAACGUGAGGUUAUGCCUACCACAUUGUGAGGAUCAUGACUCCCAAUCAUUUUGUCAUGUAGUGGCUCGCGAUGUGAGCCAUAGAUGGUCACACCAUGAGGGAUUGUUGACUGUUCACUUCCAUUGACUGUUGACUUUUUUAAAAUUUUGACCUUGGAUCAAAUUUGAAGGAUUUAGACAGUUGAUUUAGAUUCUACCAUGAUUUGGUGAUAGAGGACUUGUGCGAGCAAGCAGUGCAGAAAGGGAGCGCAUCUCCGUGUUUUCGGGUUCUUCAAUUAAGGAGAGUUUUGCCUCAUUAUACCAUGGGUUGAAGGCACCAAUGUUGUCCUACUAUUUUUGGUUAUCAUGUAGUAGAAGGAUGCCAUAUGUAUUGUAUGCAGUCACGUAGGAUAGACAGAUGACUCUUAAUGUAGACUCUCUUGCAUGUUCCUUGUUUGGUUGUGGCUCUAGAGUAUGAUCAUUUGUUUGGGUGUCUAUUAUGAAUUCCUUGGAUUGUUGGUUAUGUAUCCUAGUAUAUAGGAUGUUGCUAUAUUGUAAUGAUCUAUGAGAUUUGUAUCCUGUUAUAUAGGAUCAUGCUAUGUUGUAUUGAUAUCUUAGAUCUUUAUCUUGGUUUAUAGGAUUUUGCUAUGUUGUAGUGAUAUGUUAGAUUUGUAUCCUAGUAUAUAGGAUGUUUUUAUGCGGUAGUGAUAUGUCGAUCUAUAUGACUACCAGUACUUGUUGGUUACCCUUUAGUGGAAUGCCCUAGGGGUUGUAUGUUCUCAUGUAGGAUAUCCUAAGAACUUGAUCUAGGCUUUCUUGCUUGUUCCUUGUUUGGUUGUGGCUCUAAAGUUGGAUCAUAUUUUUGGGUGGCUAUCUAACCUCUGGUUACUUAUGGUUACGAACUGCAUGGGGGUUAGCUGGUAGCGGGACAGUGUGUUGUGUGAAGACUAGUAGGCGGUGGUGAGUUGUAUGAUUGUUAUUUUCUUGUAUUUUGUGCCUACUUAAUCCUUGUUUGUUUAUAUGUCGAUAUAUGGUGGUAGUGGGUUGAGGUGGUCUUGCUUUUGAUGUAGGACAUGAUACCCAUGUUGGAUUAGGUGUCUAAGCCCAUAACUAUAAUUGGUAUGUACUUGACCCGAGAGUAGCAUGGUCCAUUUGGAUUGCAUAUCACCACAACAAUUUGAUAGGAUGGACUUUUGAGAAGAGGUUAUUUAUGAUUUAUUAAUAUGUUAUAAGUUCUAAUAUAUUAAUAUGAAAUCAUAUUAUUUAAUUAGUAUUGAUCAAGAAUUAAUUUAGUGAUCAAAAGAGACUAAUUAAAUGUAAGGGGAUUGAUUUGGUAAAUCAAUCAUUCUUGUGGUGUGGGCUUAUGGUAAUUUAGGAUGGGCUAAACCAAUAUGGUAGUCCAUGGAUAGUCCAUGGAGGUUUUAACCCAUGCAUCCUAAGUAAGAUGAAAAGUCAUUCACAUUAGGGUUUACGUGGAUGUAACCCUAAUCCUAGCCACACUAUAUAAGAAGACCCUAGGCUACUAAAAUCGGCACCAUGUGAUCUUUGGAAGACCAUAACCGAUUUUUAGUGUGCAUAAAAUCUCUCAAAAGUCAUCCUAUGUCUAAGGUGUGUUGUGAACCAUUUGAGGUGUCACACUUGGGGCACUAAGUUCUUAAAGGCCAAAUACAACAAGUUCUACAAGCUACACAAAGAGGUAAACUCUUAACUAGUAUUUUAUGUUGUUUAUGUCAAUUGCAUGCUAGUUGUAGGCUUAAUGCUUUGGAAAUAAUAUUGCAUGUAUAAUUAGAGAAAACAUAGAUCCAAAGCAUUUAGGGUUGUAUGUGCACCAUAGGAUGUUGUACUAUACUAAAACCCAACAACCCAGUGCGGGCCAACUGUAAGUCGUAGGCACGGAGGCUUGGGAAGAGCGGUUGGGUUGAUGCGGUAGGCCAACAAACCCUAGGUAUUCCAUCUUGAUGGUUGAUUGGACCCGUAGCAUGUUGGCCUUCCUGUCCGAGGACUGAUUGGGCCCGUGCACUCUAAUCUGAUGAUUUAUGCAUGCUUGUAUGUUUAUCAUAUGUGGUAUUUUAGGAGAAACUCACUAAGCUUUGUACUUACCUAGUUGUUUAUUGUUUCAGGUAUCAUCGAUUAUUAUGGAAAGGCGAAGGCUAGGUUGUACACACUCAUCAACAGCAUGAAGAUUUUGCGUUCUUAUUUAAUCUAAUUUUCAACAAUUGUAAUUGGGAAUAAAUGGUUUUUCUUAAAAUGGGUUUAUAAUUGGGAAGUUUUACCUUCAUAAAAAGAAAAUUUUUGGUUGUGAAUUUGGGAUGUUACACUAGAAUAUUGUUGAGGAUUCCAGUAAGAGUGGCAUCUAUAGAUAGGAGUUUUUCGAAAUUAAAGUUGGUGAAAUCUUACUUACGUACCACAAUGACCCACGAAAGACUUGUUGUUUGGAAAUGAUAUAUAUCAAUAAACAUGUCAUGCUAAAACAUUCAUACUAAACUACUAUCAAAAAACUUAGCAUAAAAAAGCUUCCUAUAAGAAAACUUCUUUUUCUGUGUCCUUUUAAAAUCUGCAUGUACUGUGAUGGGUUUUGAUAGUUAAAGACGAUACUUUUUCUUAAAAUGGAAAUAAAAGUAUUAUUAUUGAAAUAACUAUUAUUUUAAGACCAUAUUAAAACAAAAUCAUCAAUGAUCCAAUUACAUGUGUUAGAUUAAGACAACCAUAGGGUGUUUAAUCAUAAUAACCUUUGUAGCAAUCGAUCACACUCAGAAUAACAGAGUUGAUGAAGAUGGCAAACACAAAGAGGAUGAUCCUCUACAAAGCUAUCUACUAACAAGUUGAAGUCACCAAGAAUGGUAGUUCUCUUUUGUAAUAUAGAACUUCUUGAGACAUUAAGAACUAAUCCCAAAUUAGUCUUAAAUGUGAAGAACAUAGAAAACCAACAAUGUUUCACAAGUCUACUUGACAGAGAAAGAUAGUGACAGAGUAUGAUUUUUUGCAAUGAGAGAAAUCAAGUGAAAAAUUACCAUAAAAAAUGAAAGUAUUAGCUUUAUCAUAUAGUAAAAAAAGAUGUAAUGGCCAUACUUUCAUUAAUGACAAAAGUAAGGCUUCAUUGAGGUAUGGUGCAUGUAAGAGUGAGUCAAAGACGCAACCACACCAAUAUCUUAGUGGAUUCGGCCAAAUAAAAGAUAAAGGAGGGUGGCGGAGUGCUUAACACUUCAUCUAUUAUAUCAUAUGUACAUGAUUUAACUAAAUGAAACCGAAAAGGUCCAAAAUUUUGUACACGACAUAUUAAUAUAUACCAUAUGAAUUAAUACUUAGGUAUAUUCUAUGGAAAUUUUAUUUUCGUAAAAUAAUAAUUUUCACUAGUUAAAAUACAAGGGUUGAUAUACUUAUUGGUAAUCAAAUUCAAAUAAAUAUUCAAUAAGGGACUACCUGAUAAAUGUGUAACCCUAUAGUAUCAUAUGUUAUUAGUAAUUCAUUCUAUAAUGAUUCUUAAGAAUAUAGAUCUAACAAUCUCCCACUUAUACAAGAUUCAUUAUAGAUUGACAUAGAUAGUAGUUGAAGUGUAGCAACAUAUUGUUGGCGCUAACAACACGCGAAGAGGUGCCAUUUACCAACAUCCAAUUCUAAGAGCUCAAAGUUGUAACAAAUGUGUAAGGUAAGUUAAUCAAAUUUUCUUUUAUUACAAACAUGAUAUUGGAUGUGAGACAUGGAAUGCAAUCAUUCUAAUUUGUUUUCCAACUAUAAGUAAGGCACCUUAUAUGUCAAACUCUCAUCACAUAAGAGGAAUUAAUCUCAUCUUAACUACAUACGCCCCUUGUAUAGUUAGUACUAUAUCCAACGACGACCUUUAUAACUCCAUGAUUAUAAACAUAGUUUAACCAUUUCAAAGUACAUCAAUUUAGAUACCUAAGUUCCUAAUAUGCAUCGUAGGUCAAAGGAUACAAACAUAUUACCCUUUUUCAAGACUCAAAUAUGAUAGUGAUCAAUGAAGUGAUUCUUGAAAUGGGUCAUAAAUAGUUUUUCUUUAACAACUACAUAUCUACUUGAAUUCAAUGAAUUGCCAUUUUCAUCACAUGAAAUCAACGAAUCUAAUUGAUAUUAGUCUUUAUUCAUAGUUUCUCCCUUAACAAUGAAUGACUAUGGAUAGUUUAGAAUAACUAGUUUAUUUAGGGAUUAAACAUGAUAACAUACAACAUAAGUACCUUAUUAUACGAGAUAUACCCCAUGUGUCAAAUUAGAUAUAAGGUCAUAUAUAGUUUUGUUUAUUUAACUAUUAAUAAAGUAUAUAUUUAAAUCCAAUUACUAGCUAAUUGAAGUCCUAUUCCUUUUGCAUGACUCUCAAACUUAUUUUGAGAAAGAGGCUUCAUGAAGGGAUCUUCUAGAUUAUCAUUUAUAUGAACCUUAUCAAUGAGUACAUUUCCCAAUUCCAAUUCCAUACGAAUUUAAUUGUGUUUCCAUUGACUACGCCUAGUCUUGUUGGUAACCACUAGGUCUCUUGAGAUAACGAUGACACCAGUGUUGUCGCACAUUAUCUGAAUGGCAUUUUUGAUGGUUGGAAAAGCAUCCAAAUCACCGAUGAAAUUCUUCCUCCAAUCAACUUCUUGAGCGGCCUCCGAUGUAACUAUGUACUCAUAUUUUGUUGUAGAUAGUACCACCACCUCUUGCUUUGAAAUUUUGCACGAAAUUCCUCCUCCAUUGACAGUGAACCGUUGGGAAAUAAUCCAAUUAUAUAUGUCCUUAGACCGUUUAUGAAAUUAAUUAUAUUCAUAAGAUAUAAUUAUUACUUGUAUCCUAAGGUCUGACGAAAUAAGUAACUAGGUCUACACAAGGGCCUUACCUUAAGCGGUAGGAGUGGCCUCUCAUUUGAGUGAUGGGUUUCGGGAAACUAAAAACGAAUUUUUUAUAAAAAACAAAACAUAAGACUUUAAAAGUAACUAGUUUAUUUUUAGACCAUUUUAAAAGAACACCAAGAUGAUCUAAUUACAUGAACUAGAAAGAUUAUGACAACCAGUAAAUAUUAAGAAUACAACCUUCAAAUACUUAGAUCCCACUUGAUAUUGAGGAGUUGAUGAAGAUGCUAAAAAUUCAAAUUUCGAGUUUCUUUAUAAUGUAUCCAACUACAAGAGUAAGCACCCAAGAAUGCUAGUUCUUCAUCUUGUAUGAAGUACAUCUUAAUCCUUUAAGUGUUUACCACAAUUAAGCACUAAAUUAGAUGCACCUCUAAGUACCAAAUAUUCACUACACUUAAAAAUACAAGAAGAAGAGGAGGAGAGGGGAUGCUCUCGGAUUUAGGCAUCAAUAAAUAAAGAGCAGGGAAAAACUAGCAACUAUUGCAAGCCAUUACACUCCUUUCUAUACUUGCACAUUACAGUUUAAGCCCAUAGCUUUUCAUAAGUUAGAGGAAUGGCUUUUAAGAGCAUGGUGUUGUAAUAAGAAAAGCCAACAAGCAACCUCUUGCUCAUGCUAUCAAACUUACGAACUAAAGAGAGAGUAUGAUGAUAGUGUUCAAGCUACACUAACUAGAUAAACUAAAGUGACUACUAUAAGUUAGUGGAAUACUAAGUGUCCAAAAACUUAUACAUGGCUUAUUAAAUCAUACCAUAUGAUAUAGUAGCUAGUUGGAAUAUAUAUAUAUAUAUAUAUAUAUAUAUAUAUAUAUAUAUAUAUAUAUAUUCNNNNNNNNNNNNNNNNNNNNNNNNNNNNNNNNNNNNNNNNNNNNNNNNNNNNNNNNNNNNNNNNNNNNNNNNNNNNNNNNNNNNNNNNNNNNNNNNNNNNNNNNNNNNNNNNNNNNNNNNNNNNNNNNNNNNNNNNNNNNNNNNNNNNNNNNNNNNNNNNNNNNNNNNNNNNNNNNNNNNNNNNNNNNNNNNNNNNNNNNNNNNNNNNNNNNNNNNNNNNNNNNNNNNNNNNNNNNNNNNNNNNNNNNNNNNNNNNNNNNNNNNNNNNNNNNNNNNAUAUAUAUAUAUAUAUAUAUAUAUAUAUAUAUAUAUAUAUAUAUGUUCUAUCCAUUUUUGUCAUCUUCUAAAGAUCUACAAAUACUAUAUGAUUUUAACACGAAGUGUUGGAUCGAUUAAAAAUUCAACCAUACAUGUACCAAAUCUCAUUCCUCAUAGCUUCCUCUAAUUUUAUCUUGUUGUGCCUUAUAUAGCUUCCAAUAGUUCACAGACUUACAUCGUAAUCUAUCUAUGACUCAUUUCCCUUGUGACAUGCAGUCAAUAAGGUCUAUGACGUCUUCUAUUAGAUAUAUGUGGAAGAGGUAGAGAGAUGUCAUUUUCUUUAAUACAGUUACCCUCUAAUUAAGUUCCAAUGUUUUUCCUAUAGAUUCUUUGUUAAUUGAUUAUUGACUCUUAUCAAGAUCAAAGCGGCUCUCACUAGUUCUUUUGAAUAUCAUCUCUCUCUUUCGAAGUACUGCCCUUAAAGAAACAAAUACUUUAUUCUCUGAAGGUUUCCAAAACAUAAUAUAGACGUCUAACGAAAUAACCUAUCUCACAGAGCAUUUCCUAAGAACUUUCUCAGGUUUGUACAAUACCAAGGACUCUUGUAACACUCAUUCAUGGUACAAUCCAUGAACUAUUUAUAAGCAUAGUACGAUUCAUUAGUUAAAAUUAAACAAUGAUUAGUUUCUCUAUUGAACUACAUUGCUUAUGGAAAUACUUGGUUUGAGAUGAAAUGUGAAACAAUUCCAUCAGAUGAUCGUUAAACUUUGACCAAAGUUCUCACUAUCGUAUUGGAUCUGAGUUUCAUAUAGUUUUGCUCAGUUGACUCUUAACUUCGCUUUUGUGACUAACUUGAACAGACAAUUAGUGUGAACUAAUUCCAACAAAUGAUAGCAUCAAGAAGUGAUUUGUUUAUCAUUUAUCUUGAUAUUAUAAGAAAUAUAUUAGUAAAAAGACUUAUGGUCUAAUGAUUUCCAACAUUCUAUCCAGUUGAAUAUUUGGUGAUGCACUUCUCAUUCACAUAUUCAAGACAGUGAUCUAAACAUUUUGGAUCGACAUGCAAUGUGGUUAAUCUGAACGGCUAAUUAAUGUAAGCUAAUUACAACAAAUACUCCGCUACUGGAUGCUGUUAGUGUCAUUAUUCUUAAAACACAAUAUUUGCAUUUAUCACAAGACUUAGAGUCAGAUGAUUUCCAAAAUCUGAAUCAACUAGAUGUUUGUAACGCACCUCUUAUUCAUAUGUCCAAAAAGAUGACUCCAUAAUGCAUUUAAUCCAACAAAUCAAUCUUCAUUGAACUAUUAUUACUAUACUAGUUUUAACAAUUUUUUGACUUACUUUUAAACAAAAAAACAUAUGAAAUGUUCUAUGUUUAAAUAAGCUAGACCUAUGUUACAAAAAAUUGUAUAAACAACUUCAACCAUAAGACCGUAGACUUAACAUUUAUAAGAACGACUCAUCUUAUGAUCCUAAGGACAGUAAAGGAACUCGAUUUGAUGUCCUUGAUCAUAAUCAGUACUUUAUGUUAUAGUAUAUUACUUCUUUUUGGUCACUACAUAUUCUUGCAAAUGUCAAUAGCUAUCUUUAAGAGACACACUCAAGGAUUUGAAGUAAUAAUCUAAUGGUGUUAUGGAUAUAUUACUCUAAUUAUAGGCUAAACACUUGGAAGAACAAGUUGACUCUAGAUCUUUACAAAAUAUUUUUGGGGCCCCGUUAUAGAUGAUCAAUCAACUCUUCUUAGGUUUCAGUCUACUUCAUAUACUUUGGGCAUUUGUGCUUUUCUUAGUAAUUAAUUUAGCAUGUCAGAAUACGUCUCAGAAUUGGCCUUCUUCUAUCUUUCACAUUUGAUGUUGUAGAUGGAUAUACCAACUUAGAACACCCUUUUGCCUAUGGUCAAUUGGAUUUCUUCUUCUUGAAACUUUUUUCAUAAUAUCUAAUCAUAUGAGCAUCUGAAGCUAUGAGUUCUAUGCUUAUCCAUUUUAGUCAAAAAAAAGGUUCUCAACAUGCUAUGUGUAACGCCCACAGAUUCGGGCUAGUCAAUUUAGAGACAAUAAGCGUCAAAAAAAUUAUCUUUUAACGAAAGAUGAUUUAGAAUGAAUAAUCUUAACCAUGUUAUAGUAUAUGUCACAACGGUUCUGUACAUAUAAAGAACGUCGAAAUCUGAGUUAUCACGAAGAAGUUAAGAUCUGUCGAAGUUUUAUAGCUAAACUGACAAGACACCGUGUAACGUAAAAAGUGGAUUUUACCGAAUAGCUCAAUUAUCAACAUUAAUACAAUUUAUUUAUCAAAAGUUGUUUAUCACAUAAACCAGGAUCCUCCAAGACAUAUCUCCAAUGAGAGUGUGUGUACAAUCAAGCUGGGCCAUCCCGCGAUCAUCGGAACUACCUGAAACACAUAACACAUAACAUGGUAAGCACGAGGAUUAGUGAGCUCCCCAAAAUACCACAUACAACUCAUUAGCCACUCUAGGCUAUAACUCGAUAAGACCCUCCGGUCAAUGUGUCUCAGUGGGACCCUCUGGUCCCAACUCAGCAAGCUUAUAAUAACAAUACUCGACAUAAAAUCACAAAGACAUAAUGCAGAAUAUCAAAUACGCAAAUAAUCACAAUAAGCAGCUCAAUCACACAAGGUACCACUCAAGGCAAGUAUAGUGAGAAGACUCACCUUGCAAGAAGUCAGCAAAACUCGAACUCAAACUACCGGUCUAGCCUCUGCCUAACAUACACAACAAUUAUCCCUAAUUAAUCACGGCUCUCAAGAGGCUACUCAAUUUCACAGAAGGGCAAAUGACCAUUUUACCCCUCAAUGGCCCUAAAUGUCCAUAAUUUGACCCAAACCCUAAAAGUCAACAAAAGUCAACGGCAAGGAGUACGUUGCACGUACCAGCUCCUUACGCUGGGCGUACUCAGCUGCCAUGCAGAUAUCGGGGACGCGCGUAACAGAAUUACGCCCAACAUCCACCUUAAUGUCCUCCAGGGGUACCACCAUCGUGUCAUCGGCUACACACUUCCUCAACUGGAACACGUGGAAGGUGUUGUGAAUCUGACUCAAAUAUGCAGGUAGCUCCAACCGGUAAGCUACCCUACCCACUCUGGCGGUCACUCUGGAAGGACCAAUGUACCAGGGCCCCAACUUGCCCCGCUUCCGAAAUCGGAUCACCCCUUUCCAUUGGGGUACCUUCAAUAGUACAAAACCUUCAAUAGUACAAAACCUCUGUUUGACCUGCUGAAUCUGCUCACUCAUCUUCAUCACUAUCUCAGUGCCACCUAUCACUCGUUGUCCUAUCUCUCCCCAAUAAAUGGGAGUCCGACACCUCCUCCCAUAAAGAAGCCCAAAGGGAGGCAUACCAAUACUCAAAUGUUGGAUGUUACUGUAAGAAAACUCAACCAAGGGCAAAUAGGUUUCCCAACUCCUCAUGAAAUUUCUUUUAGAACUUGGAAGCACAGCGCACGUCUCAGUCUGACACUAUCGAGGUCGGCAUUCCAUGCCGAGCUACCACCUCCCUCACAUAAAUCUCGACCAGUCUUUCUGCAAAAGAACUCUCACUAAUAGCAAGGAAGUGAGCACUCUUCGUCAACCGGUCCACAAUCACCCAAAUCGCAUAAACCCCGUGCGUAGUUCUCGGUAACUUGGUGAUAAUGUCCAUAGAAAUAUGUUCCCACUUCCAGUAGGGAAUCUCCAGAGGCUGCAAUGGACCAUGCGGUCGUUAGUGCUCCGCCUUAACCCGACGACAGGUCAAACACCUCUCUACAACCCAAGCCACGUCGCUCUUCAUACAGGGCCACCAAUAGUCCCUCUCCAGGUCCAAAUACAUCUUAGUGGCCCCCGGGUGGAUCAAAAAUCUCGAUCUAUGCACCUCCUAAAUCAGAAUACGACGAGCUCCACCUGUAUAGGGGACCCAAAUCCGCCCAUGGAAGGUCAUAAGCCCACGACUGUCCAUCACGAACUCGGGUGCCUGGCCAACCACAUGCUCUCUCUUGCGGUUCUCCGACCUCAUAGCCUCCACCUGGGCCUCUCAGAUGGUAUCUAAGACUGGAGUCAUCACUAACAUCCUCAUACACAUAUCUCAGAUCAUAGCACUCUCUGCUCUGCAGCUCAAGCCAUCGGCUACCACGUUAGCCUUGCCUAGGUGGUAUAAGAUCUCACAGUCGUAGUCUUUCACUACAUCCAACCAUCUCCUCUGCCUCAUAUUUAGAUUGGGCUGAUCCAUCAGAUACUUCAGGCUCUUAUGGUCUGUGUAUAUGGUACACCGGACACCAUAAAGAUAGUGGCGCAAAAUCUUGAGGGCGAACACCACUGCCCCUGAUUCCAAAUCAUGAGUGGGGUAUCUCGUCUCAUGAGGCUUCAGCUGCCUCGACGCAUAUGCUAUCACAUGACCCCUCUGCAUCAACACUACACCCAUCCUCGAAAUGGAUGCAUCACAGAAGACUACGAAGUCCUCCACUCCCUCCAAAAGAGACAAUACAGGAGGUUCUUACAAUCUCUGGCGAAGAGUCUCGAAUUAUGCCUGCUGCUCAGGCCCCCAAAGAAAUGCAACGCCCUUCCAGGUCAAUCUGGUGAGAGGAACCACAAUCUUGGAGAAAUCCUUGAUAAAUCUCUGAUAGUAGCUGGCCAAUCCCAGAAAACUCCUGAUCUCGAAUGGGGAUAUCGACACCUCCCAUUGCAUGACGACCUCAAGCUUGGCCGGAUCGACCAAAAUCCCAUUCUGAUUAACGAGGUGUCCUAGGAACUGGACCUCUCGUAACCAGAAAUCACACUUGGAGAAUUUAGCAUACAGCCUCUCCAACCUCAAUACCCCAAGAACCUUACGCAGAUACCCCUCAUGCUGCUCCGUGGACCUUGAAUAUACCAAGAUAUUGUCGAUGAACACGAUCACCGACCGGUCCAACAUAGUCCUGCACACCCGGUUCAUGAGAUCUAUGAAUGCUGUCGGCGCAUUAGUGAGCCCGAAAGGCAUCACCACAAACUCAUAAUGCCCAUAACGAGUCCUGAAGGCCGUCUUCUGAAUAUCCUCCUCUCGUACUCUCAUCUGGUGAUACCCAGAUCUCAAAUAAAUCUUGGAAAACCAAGAUGCCCCUGCAACUGAUCGAACAAAUCGUCGAUCCUCAGAAGUGGAAAACGGUUCUUGACCGUUAGCUUGUUUAACUCCCGGUAAUCAAUGCACAUCCAGUGUGAACCAUCCUUUUUCCUGACAAAAAGGAUCGGCGCCCCCCAAAGCGAGCUACUCGGUCGAAUAAAUCCCUUCCCCAGCAGCUCCUGAAGCUGCGAGGAUAACUCAUGCAUCUCUGGCGGCACAAGGCAAUAAGGUGCCUUGGCGAUUGGUGCUGCUCCCGAAACCAAAUCAAUUCGAAAUUCCACUUCCCUCUCAGGAGGCACACCCAGUAACUCCUUGAGAAAAACAACAGGAAACUCUCACACUAUCGGAACCUCGGAAAUAGAUCUCGGCCUCUCUGACACAAUUCGCGUAUCCAUCACGUAUUCCAAGAAACCCCUACAUCCCCACUGUAAACUCUGCCUUGCCCUGGCAGCAGCGCAAAAGGCUGACCCGGAGCUGGUACCCUCUCCAUACACGGUAAGCACUCCCCCACUGGGAUCUCGUAUAGUCACCAACUGAUGCUUGUAAUCGAUCAUUGCUCCAAAAUAGCUCAACCAAUCCAUGCCCACAAUGACACAGACAUCACCCAUCGCAAUCGGUACCAGGUCAAUCGGAAACUCGACACCAAAAAUCUUCAGCACACAUCCCCGGAACACAUUAGCAGCAAAAACCGCAUGCUCAUCGCCUAUAGAAACCCUCAAAGGGUGACUUAACUCCUCGCGUCGGAUACUAUUGUGACAACUAAAAGCUAAAGACACGAAGGAUCGAAUCGCACCCGAAUCAAAUAACACUAAAGAAGGUACAGAGUUCACAAGAAAUGUACCUGGAUAUAGCAUAGAAUAAACACAAUAAAUCUCAUAGAAGAAAACAAUAAAGAAACAUCAUGUGCUGCACGGACCUCCUCCGUUGUCAGCUGAAAAGCUCUCCCACGAGCCUUUAGAGCCUCGGUCUUCACUGGUCGAACAACAGCAACAUGCAAAGCAGCAGGAGCCGAACCUUGAGCUGACCCCUCAACAAGCUGAUGGCACUCGGACUUUUGAUGGCCACUAUGAUUGCAGUGAAAGCAGACUGCAAAUCCCUUGGGGCAAUCCUUUGCCAUGUGCCCCUCCUUGACACACAUGUAGCAAAUCCCAGCAUUGCAAGAUCCCUCAUGACUCUUGUUGCACUUGCCACAAGUGCGGCCCUUCUGGCCUCCUGAUCUUGAAUCGGUGGGCUUACCCCACUUGGCUGUCGGCUGCGACUGCACCGUCCGCCGGUCUCUCCCAUGAGACUUCGCAUCCUCCCUAGCCUGGGUCUCCAACUCGAUCUCCCUCCUCCUAGCAUUUGCCUGAAGCGCCGCAAAUGUCCGAUAAGAUGAGUUCUCCACGAACUCUCGAAUAUCCCUCCUCAGAAUGCUCAAAUAACUGCUCAUGCGUGCCUGCUUAGUCGACACAUGCUCAAGGCAGAACAACACCCUCUCGUGAAACAUUCGAGUAAACACAGUCACCGACUCCGUCUUCUAUCUGAGAGACAGGAACUCUUGGGGCAACCGUUCCCUAUCCACUGGGGGAACAUACUCAUCAUGGAACAUCAUCACAAAUCUCUCCUAAGUCACUACAGUAUGCUCUGUGGGAGUAAAGUUGGCUGUCGCAAAUUACCACCGGUCCUUCACUCCCAAGCGAAGCUGGUUCAGCGCAAACCGCACCCUCAAAUGCUCUGGGUAGGAACAUGUAUAGAAACAUCCCUCGAUGUCAGAGAUCCAUCUAAUCGCAGAAAUCGGAUCCUGAGUCCCAUCAAACUCUGGUGGCUUCAUGUUGCAAAACUCCCGAUAUAGCAACGAGUCACCCCCUACGGCCUGGCAGCAACGACUGCUACGGUGGCUGCAGCAUCAUGUCACACCCCGAAACCCAGGGCGGAAACGUUCCGGGGCGGAGGUGACUUCAUGUUGAAUAUCAUAACCAAUGUACAUAGUAAGCUCAGUAAACACAAAACAUUACAUUACAUAGAAUCAUUUACAUUUGUUUGAAAGUAAAGUUAUACAAGUGUUAUACACAUAUAUCAUAUGAACAAAAGCAAAGACGAGUCUUCUAAAUGCUCCGUCUUCUCCAAAAGAUGGCGGUGUACCUAUCUAAUGCUGACCUGAGAAUACAAGCAGUUUGGAAAUCAACAUAAAGCUGGUGAGUUCAUAAGCGAUUUAGUUUUGAAAAGAAUGAGUUUCCUUUGGUUUUCUGAAAAAAGACGUUAUUCAAGAAAAAUCACAUAUUUUCUUAUAUAAAAACAGUUUAGUUAUCAUUCGUUACACAAUUCGAUUAUGAAUAGUUAUGUUAUCCCAGGAAAAUCCCAUAUUUUCCUAUUAGUUUAGUUAUCCAUUUGUUAUUUAAUUCGUUUGCGAGUUGUUAUGUUAUCCCAGGAAAGUCCCAUAUUUUCCUAAGCGUUGUGGUUAGUUCUUAGUUUAGAUUUCGAUGUACUAGUAUCUACCAUACUUAUAAUAUUAGUUAGGUAUUCUGAUAUCUUAGUUAUCCUACACUCGAAUGUCGAUUAUCUACUAUACUUAGUUGUAUUUUCGAAUAUUUGGAUACACUUAGAAACAUACAUUAACUGUAUAUUCGAUGUUCUGGUGAUUUCCAAAAGAGUACAUUAGACGUAUCUUCGAAACUCUGUCGACAUCCAAAGGCGUAUGUUUUCGAAACUCAGUCGAUGUCCAGAGGUGUACUUUCGAAUUAUUUUCGAAACUCUGGUGACACUCAAGGCGUACAUUAACUGUAUAUUCGAAGUCUUGGCAUCAUCCAAAGGCAUGCUUUCGUAUUCGCAUUCGUAUUCCUAUUCCUAUUCGCAUUCGUAUUCGUAUUCGUAUUCGUAUACCUAUUCCUAUUUGUAUUCGUAUUCGUAUUCGUAUUCACAUUCGUAUUCGUAUUCGUAUUCGUAUUUGUAUUCAUAUGGCUAUUCUUUUUCUUAUUCGUAUUCGUAUUUUUAUUCAAAUUCUUAUUACUACUCCUAUUCGUAUUCGUAUUCGUAUUCACAUUCGUAUUCGUUUUUGUUUUCGUAUUCGUAUUCGUAUACCUAUUCGUAUUCGUAUUUUAUUAGUAUUAAUCUUAGUUUAUGAUUAGUAUGAUUUCUUUUGCGAAAUGUAAUAUAGUUUAUAAUACUUUUUAAAGAAAUCUGCAUUUAGUCUAACAGUUUACUCUGCAAUUCAAACCAUUGGUUAACACGAUUUUCGAUAUUAAAAGCAUACAUAAAAUGAAACAUUUGAGUUGAAAAUAAGUUUAAGUACAAGAUUUCCUUGUACUUUUGCUUGUAUUCCCCCCUGAAAACAUUUGAAAAACACAAAAAAAAAGGUAGGGGUAUGAACUCACCGGUUGAGGAAUGCGUCGGUUUGGAUCCUAAACGUCAGUUCUAGGUUUACAAACGCACAAGAUUCCUAUGUAAUAUGAAAAGAUACACAUUUGUAUCUAAUUAGGACUUUAAAUUAUUAAUUAGUUGGGGAUAUACACUUCUAGGUACAAAAACACUUCAUCACAAGUGUUUGGAGGGACCCGGGUGACAUCUAUGGACACAUAUAGCUUGGAUAUGGAGUUUACUCUUCAAGAGUAAACUCACACAAGAGUUUUUGGCCCUAAAGACCCACUCCCCAUGAGUUUACGACCAUAAACUCAUGGUGGGGUGUUCUAGAGUGCUAAAUGGCCUUGAAUCAAUUGAGGGGUAAUUCUAGGUUUGGUUUCAAGGCAUGGGAAAGUAGUUUGGGCAUCUUAGGGACCAUUUGAGGAGUUUACGGCAGUAAACUAUGUGUUUACGGCCGUAAGCUCUAGUAUACAUAUUCAAAAUGUGUUUUGGUGGUCCUUAUUCAAUCACAUGUGAUUUCAAGCCAUUUGACAAGCCAAGGGGUGAAGUUUAGGCAUCAUUUGACUAUGUUUUGGGAGUUUACGGCCCAGGAACCCAUCUUUGGAGGGUUUAUGGCCGUGAACUCCUUAGGGAGUUGUUUUCAUCAAUUUUUAGGCUUCUAAUUCAUUUGUGGUUGCUUCUAGAUUUUAGUUCAAGGCUUAGGAGGUGUGUAAGUGGCAAUUUAACACCUUAGAAUGAGUUUACUCCCCAUGAAUGGGUGUUUACGGCCCAAGCAUGUUCUUGGGCAGUAAACUCAUGUUUACUCCUCUAAAAUGAUGUUCAAGGUGUUCUAAGUCCGAUUUGAUAAGACAUUAAUUCAUAUCUAAGCCUCAAAGUUGGUUUGGAAGGGUUUUUAAGGCACAAAAACCCACUUUAUGUGUGUUUAUGGCCCAAGCAUGUUUUAGGGCCGUAAACACAUGAACAUGGUCCUAAAUCAUAGAUAAAUCACGAAUUUGAAGGCUAGGGAUGUUAAUCUAUGAGUUAGGGGAGUUACCUUGAUGAUUUGAAGUCUUAAUUUGAUGUUUUUGGACCUAAUACUUUGGUUUGAGGAGAGAGGUUAGAGAGAGAGUGCAAAAGCUUCAAAUGAGGCUUAAACCACUUUAUAUAUAGUUCGGGUUUGGGACGUUUCCACGAGUUUCUAAUGAGUUUGGACAAUUAUUAAGUCAUAAUAACAAACUCAAAUAAAUGACUUAAUUUUUGAAACGAACGGAAACAAUUCAAGACGAUGAAUUUUAAAAGACGGAACGGGUUACGACGACGGAACGAGCUUCACGUUGUCACACAGCAGCCGCCUCUAAAACAACAUCAUAUCACUCAUCAAAUGUCUCGAUCAGAGUGGUGUUAAUAGACCCAAACAUCUCUGGAAUAGCCUCCCGAACAGUUGCGACCACCUCAUCAUGAAUCAUCCAGUGAAUCUCGUCAUCGCUAACUCCACUGGUUUCUGGGGUGUGGCGUGUAGCUACCAUGAUGUCUCUAAAACACAACACCAAAUCAUCAGAGACUCGCUUGAGUAUACUCACACUCGAUUACUUACUCCUAGUACCCUAUGGAUUCGUACUUAGGUUGCCUGCAGAUCUGGUGCUUUCAGUAGUACGGGCCCAAUACUACCUUCCACACCUAAUCCUUAGUCACCUAAAGUCAUCCUCCUAGGAUUCUAAUUCACAAAUACUCUAUAUCUAGAAGACUCCUCUCAAGCUCAUCUAGGUAUCUCCUCCUAGAUUAUCUCUCGACUCAAAACUCCUCACAUACUCAGAGAAAAUAGCAAAUAUCACUGAUCAAGAACAACUCCUAGGUUAAGGCAUCACAAACCAAGCAACUCUAGCCCUAGAAUAUGAAAUACCUAGCCUAAUUUAUUGAUGGGUUUUGGUCAUAAGACAUCCUAUGUGCUCAUACAAACCCUAAUGCUUGGAUCUAGGUUUCAUUAUUGUACAUGCAAGUUAUCCAAGGCUAUAAACCCUAAUUCUAGCAUAUGGGAAUCAAUAUUAACAUGUAAUUAGGUUUAAGAUAUUACCUUUAUUGUUAUGUAGCAAUAACAAUCCCAAAUCUCCUUGAAUUGACUUUGGAAGGCUUAGAGUCACAAGUGUCACUCCUCUAAUGGCUUACAAACACCAUAAGCAAGUGGAGAAGGUAUAAAGAGAGAGGAGAGAGGUAGAAAUUCAUCCUUAUAUGCUCUAGGGAUCAAGUGUACGAAAUCCUAAGGCCUUAGGGGUCUUUAUAUAGGGUUGGGAUUAGGGUUUCAGUCCUUAUCCUUAUCUAGUUACUUGCCCAUCAAGCAACCAUAAGAAAAGCCUAUGAAAAUCCCUAUCUCUUGGACCUUGAAUGAUUUUAAGGAUAUCCUUAUCCUUGAAUCCGUCCAUCCUUCAACAAGGAUAACCAUUGCCCUAUUUUGCAAAUAUCACAUAAUUACAAUUCAGCCCCUCUAGUUUAAUUAAUUACAUUUGAUCACAAAAUUAAUUCUUAAUUAAUUAUUGACCAAUAUUAAUUAAACAAAUAUGAUUUCUCCUUUAAUAUAUUAUUCUUAUAACAUAUUAAUAAAUCAUAAUAACCUCUCUCUCUAUUUAUUUCUCCAAUCAAGUUGCUUUGGUGAAGGCAACCCAAAAGGACCAUGCACCAUCGGGUCAAGUACAUACCAAAAUAGUUAUGGACUUAGACACUAAUCCAACAGUCUCCCACUUGGAUAAGUCUAAUAACUAUUAUGCGUAUGACUUCGGAUCCUAAUCUGCAAUCGUAGCUUUCCAAAGCCGCUGUCAACUCUGAUCAUAUCAGAUACGCGUGUCCUUAGAUAAGGGAUCAUAUAUUCCUCCAUUCUAGAUAUCAUAUGAGAUAUGAUUUCAAAUCAUUCUCUUU
rnacentral:lncRNA from 1 species